UGACUGGGGCGGUCUCCUCCUAAAGAGUAACGGAGGAGCACGAAGGUUGGCUAAUCCUGGUCGGACAUCAGGAGGUUAGUGCAAUGGCAUAAGCCAGCUUGACUGCGAGCGUGACGGCGCGAGCAGGUGCGAAAGCAGGUCAUAGUGAUCCGGUGGUUCUGAAUGGAAGGGCCAUCGCUCAACGGAUAAAAGGUACUCCGGGGAUAACAGGCUGAUACCGCCCAAGAGUUCAUAUCGACGGCGGUGUUUGGCACCUCGAUGUCGGCUCAUCACAUCCUGGGGCUGAAGUAGGUCCCAAGGGUAUGGCUGUUCGCCAUUUAAAGUGGUACGCGAGCUGGGUUUAGAACGUCGUGAGACAGUUCGGUCCCUAUCUGCCGUGGGCGCUGGAGAACUGAGGGGGGCUGCUCCUAGUACGAGAGGACCGGAGUGGACGCAUCACUGGUGUUCGGGUUGUCAUGCCAAUGGCACUGCCCGGUAGCUAAAUGCGGAAGAGAUAAGUGCUGAAAGCAUCUAAGCACGAAACUUGCCCCGAGAUGAGUUCUCCCUGACUCCUUGAGAGUCCUGAAGGAACGUUGAAGACGACGACGUUGAUAGGCCGGGUGUGUAAGCGCAGCGAUGCGUUGAGCUAACCGGUACUAAUGAACCGUGAGGCUUAACCUUACAACGCCGAAGGUGUUU
rnacentral:rRNA from 1 species